CCUACGGGUGGCAGCAGUGAGGAAUAUUGGUCAAUGGGCGCAAGCCUGACCCAGCAACGCCGCGUGAAGGAAGAAGGCUUUCGGGUUGUAAACUUCUUUUAAGAGGGAAGAGCAGAAGACGGUACCUCUUGAAUAAGCCACGGCUAACUACGUGCCAGCAGCCGCGGUAUUACGUAGGUGGCAAGCGUUGUCCGGAUUUACUGGGGGUAAAGGGCGUGCAGCCGGGAAGGCAAGUCAGAUGUGAAAUCCCGCGGCUCAAACGCGGAACUGCAUUUGAAACUGUUUUUCUUGAGUACCGGAGAGGUCAUCGGAAUUCCUUGUGUAGCGGUGAAAUGCGUAGAUAUAAGGAAGAACACCAGUGGCGAAGGCGGAUGACUGGACGGCAACUGACGGUGAGGCGCGAAAGCGUGGGGAGCAAACAGGAUUAGAUACCCGGGUAGUC
rnacentral:rRNA from 1 species